CAUUAAAAUUACAGCACUAAAUCUAUUGUAAAAAUAAUAAUUAUUAUCAAAGGAAAUGAUCGGAAAUUUAUCGCGCUUUUAAAAUUUCAUAGAGUCGAAUGAUUCGUUCAGUUCCAUUUUCCUCGUUUAUUAUAUACUGCAAAGGUGAAUUUUUAUUUUUAUUUCAAUGUUAUUCCUGUUCUGUUCCAGUGACGUGAUUUCGUUCGGAUUCGUCCUUCGCGGGUGAUCGCGGGAUCUGAACUGCGGAGGCUUUUCAGAGGAGGGUUGGUUGAAAUUAUUACGGCGAAACUCACGCGUUCAUGCGAAACUCACGCGCAUGUCUUGCAGUGACUCAAUUCCGUGUGACACUCACAGGCUCGGGACCUACACGGCAAUCAACGUGGACUUACAAUUCUCAAAGGACUGAAAACGAACAUUCCUUCUGUGAUUUCUGGGAAAAUAAAAUGGAUUUCGCCGUGCCUACGCCGAGCUACGCCUACGGUACAGGAUUUAUCCCCGGAGUGUCCUUGACGUUUACCCGCUGGUAAAUGGACGACGCGAAUAGAGUUCCACAAGAAAUCUUCACCGCUGUGGGCAAUUUUCCGCAUGACGAAGGACCACGACGGCGAUAUUAUUGCGAAUCAAACUUCUACGUAAUCCUGCUUAUGCAGUGGUUGGUCUCUCGGUCGUGUAUUUUGUACACGUACACAGAAUGUUCCGGGAACGAGAUUCGAUGAAAAGUGUCGCAGUUGGUGGAUUUCUGGCUUUCUAUACGUAUGUACGUGGGUACAUACGUAUCUUUUGAGGGUUGACAUCGAAAUCUCCCAAGUUCCCUAUGCGCUUAUCGAUCCUAUACUCUCAAUCGGUAAUGACUUUCGGGAUCAGAGAUGUUCCAUGUGCGGUAAAAUAUACGUACGAACUUCCCUCCUUAUUCGGUCUCUCUGCAACCCUUAUCGAUCCAUCUUACAUAUAUUUACUACAC
rnacentral:misc_RNA from 1 species